UUCCAUUGCCCCUGUCCUCAUCCCCCGCCCUGCCUAAACUGCUUUAUAAAAAUGAGACCUUGCUAGCUAAUAAACGAAGCCUUGACGCAACUCAGACUGACUCUUUCUUUACGCGCUUGGCUUCCACUUCUCUCUCCCCCCGUUUGACUCCUACAGGUGACACCCGCUCGAGACCCAGUAAAUAACCUGGCCUGCUGGACGGGUCAAGUGGCGCCCAUAACGUGGGGCUCGAGAAGCGGUGGGCACAGGACAACCUGAAGCAGCAAGACUGACCGGUCGAUUGGGUACAGAUCGUCUGCACCGCUCGUGCAGCGACUGGAGGAGCGGCCCGAUAGAGGAUGCAAAGGAUCCUGUUUGGAGACAUCAGCUUUCUAGAUGGAACACUCAUCCUGAUAUUAAUAGUCGUGGUGGUGCUCUGCUGCUGCUGGUGGCUGCGAUGUCAUGUGCCCGGAGAAAAACGCACCUGUUGCUGCUGAGAUGCUUUGGAUAGGAUUGGUAAUAUCUAUCUUCUUGAGCACCCAAGCCAAAACGUCUGCCUUGACCCGCUGAUUAAACAACUGAGGCCAACAA